UACGAAGGGGGCUAGCGUUGCUCGGAAUCACUGGGCGUAAAGCGCACGUAGGCGGCUUUUUAAGUCAGGGGUGAAAUCCUGGAGCUCAACUCCAGAACUGCCUUCGAUACUGAGAGUCUCGAGUCCGGGAGAGGUGAGUGGAACUGCGAGUGUAGAGGUGAAAUCGUAGAUAUCGAGAAGAACACCAGUGGCGAAGGCGGCCACCUGGACGGUGACUGACGCUGAGACGCGAAAGCGUGGGGAGCAAACAGG
rnacentral:rRNA from 1 species